rnacentral:rRNA from 1 species
CAGUCGCCGCGGUAAUACGUAGGUCCCGAGCGUUGUCCGGAUUUAUUGGGCGUAAAGCGAGCGCAGGCGGUUAGAUAAGUCUGAAGUUAAAGGCUGUGGCUUAACCAUAGUACGCUUUGGAAACUGUUUAACUUGAGUGCAAGAGGGGAGAGUGGAAUUCCAUGUGUAGCGGUGAAAUGCGUAGAUAUAUGGAGGAACACCGGUGGCGAAAGCGGCUCUCUGGCUUGUGACUGACGCUGAGGCUCGAAAGCGUGGGGAGCAAACAGGAUUAGAUACCCCAGUAGUCCCUGUCUCUUAUACA